AACGAACGCUGGCGGCAGGCCUAACACAUGCAAGUCGAACGAAGCCUUCGGGCUUAGCGGCGGACGGGUGAGUAACGCGUGGGAGCGUGCCCUUUGGUACGGAAUAGCCCCGGGAAACUGGGAGUAAUACCGUAUGUGCCCUUCGGGGGAAAGAUUUAUCGCCAAAGGAUCGGCCCGCGUUGGAUUAGGUAGUUGGUGGGGUAAUGGCCUACCAAGCCGACGAUCCAUAGCUGGUUUGAGAGGAUGAUCAGCCACACUGGGACUGAGACACGGCCCAGACUCCUACGGGAGGCAGCAGUGGGGAAUCUUAGACAAUGGGGGAAACCCUGAUCUAGCCACGCCGCGCGAUCGAUGAAGGCCUUAGGGUUGUAAAGAUCUUUCAGUGGGGAAGAUAAUGACUGUACCCACAGAAGAAGCCCCGGCUAACUCCGUGCCAGCCGCCGCCGUAAAAC
rnacentral:rRNA from 1 species